UGGGGAAUAUUGGACAAUGGACCGAGAGUCUGAUCCAGCAAUUCUGUGUGCACGAUGAAGUUUUUCGGAAUGUAAAGUGCUUUCAGUUGGGAAGAAAGAAAUGACGGUACCAACAGAAGAAGUGACGGCUAAAUACGUGCCAGCAGCCGCGGUAAUACGUAUGUCACGAGCGUUAUCCGGAUUUAUUGGGCGUAAAGCGCGUCCAGGUGGUUAUGUAAGUCUGAUGUGAAAAUGCAGGGCUCAACUCUGUAUUGCGUUGGAAACUGUAUAACUAGAGUACUGGAGAGGUAAGCGGAACUACAAGUGUAGAGGUGAAAUUCGUAGAUAUUUGUAGGAAUGCCGAUGGGGAAGCCAGCUUACUGGACAGAUACUGACGCUAAAGCGCGAAAGCGUGGGUAGCAAACAGG
rnacentral:rRNA from 1 species